rnacentral:rRNA from 1 species
GACGAACGCUGGCGGCGUGCUUAACACAUGCAAGUCGAACGGACAGGCCCUGCUUUUGUGGGUUGCUCGAGUGCCGAACGGGUGAGUAACACGUGAGUAACCUGCCCUUGACUUUGUGGUAACUUCACGAAACUCGGGCUAAUACCGCAUAGGAUCUCCUGCUCCAUGGUGGGGGUUGGAAAGUUUCGGCUGUUGUGUCUGGACUCGCGGCGUAUCAGCUUGUUGGUGGGGUAGUGGCUUACCCAGGCUUUGACGGGUAGCGGGCCUGAGCGGGUGACCGGCCACAUUGGGACUGAGAUACGGCACAGACUCCUACGGGAGGCAGAAGUGGGGAAUAUUGAACAAUGGGCGGAAGCCUGAUGCAGCAACGCCGCGUGCGGGAUGACGGCCUUAGGGUUGUAAACCGCUUUCGCAUGUGACGAAGCGUGAGUGACGGUAAUGGGUAAAGAAGCACCGGCUAAAUAAGUG